rnacentral:rRNA from 1 species
UACGUAGGGUGCGAGCGUUGUCCGGAAUUAUUGGGCGUAAAGAGCUCGUAGGCGGUUUGUUGCGUCUAUCGUGAAAACCUGCAGCUUAACUGUGGGCUUGCGGUGGAUACGGGCAGACUUGAGUUCGGUAGGGGAGACUGGAAUUCCUGGUGUAGCGGUGAAAUGCGCAGAUAUCAGGAGGAACACCGGUGGCGAAGGCGGGUCUCUGGGCCGUAACUGACGCUGAGGAGCGAAAGCAUGGGGAGCGAACAGG